ACGGAAGGCAGCAGUGGGGAAUAUUGGGCAAUGGGCGCAAGCCUGACCCAGCAACGCCGCGUGAAGGAUGAAGGUCUUCGGAUUGUAAACUUCUUUAAUCGGGGAAGAAAAAAAUGACCUACCCGAAGAAAAAGCCACGGCUAACUACGUGCCAGCAGCCGCGGUAAUACGUAGGUGGCAAGCGUUAUCCGGAUUUACUGGGUGUAAAGGGCGUGUAGGCGGCUCUGCAAGUCAGAAGUGAAAUUCCCGGGCUCAACCUGGGCGCUGCUUCUGAAACUGCAGAACUUGAGUACUGGAGGGGAAAGCGGAAUUCCUAGUGUAGCGGUAAAAUGCGCAGAUAUUAGGAGGAACACCGGUGGCGAAGGCGGCUUUCUGGACAGUAACUGACGCUGAGGCGCGAAAGCGUGGGGAGCAAACAGGAUUAGAUACCCUGGUA
rnacentral:rRNA from 1 species